GCCACCCUAGCUCAAUUGGCAGAGCGGUUCAUUCGUAAUGAACAGGUUAUGGGUUCAAGUCCCAUGGGUGGCU
rnacentral:tRNA from 1 species